AUAAAGAGAUAUGAACGUCAAAGAAAGGGCUGGUGAAGCACAUAUGUGGUUGACUUUUCAACCUUACUGUAAGUAGAAGACUCAGUCUUCUUUUUCCUCAUUUUCCAGCAAAUUCACGCACAAUCAGAGCUUCAAUAGCUCUUCAAGAAGUUCCUUAGGGUUUUAAAGCAAUUCCAUUAUCCGCAACUCAAAAUCAAGAAGCGAACACAUCAAUGCUAUCCUUACGACAUAUGUAAGAAUUUACCGCCCUCUUUUCUCCUUAUAAAUCGAGCUUUGGAAAGAGCUUCAAGUCUAAGCAAGCUUGUCAUCUCUGUAUUUUAGCUAUACAAUCAUAUAGAAGGGUGUGGAUUAAAGGGAACAAGGAUUGGAAGCAAGAACAUAAGAGGUAUGUAGGGUUUUCGUUUCAUUUUCGGCAUGAUUUGGUUUAACUAUGCUCUAUCCUUUCUUCUUGAUCUUUUAAGAGUUGUUAAAGGAUAAUUUAGCAUGUAUUGUAUCCUUGUAUAGUAUUCAGAUUUCCAAUUUACAGUCAUACUUUAGUAUGUUUUUA
rnacentral:lncRNA from 1 species